GCAAUUAUUUGUGGGUUCAUAUCAACACCACAAUCAAAUAGCAUAAUAUCAUUAUACUGUUAUAUUAGUGGAAUAUCACGUUGGUUUUUCUUCUUUCCACCUGCAAUCUGGUCAUGAGUAUUAAAUUCUGUAGGUAUUUUAGUAAUGUAAUUAAGUAAAGGAGAUAAAGUGAGGCAGGAUACUUAUCUCUUUAUUUCGGUGGGUGUUCACAUCCAAGAACAGUAGUUAAAGAUUCUAAAGAAGUGAACGUUGUGGGGGUUGAUGAGAUGAAGUUGACACUUGACAGGGUGGCUUUGGCAUUUUGCCAUACAGCUGUCACUUUGCCUCUGGGUUGCUGUCUUCUUUGAAAAUUGAAGAUUAAAAUCUGCAAAGACACUGUACGGCAUGUGAACUUCCACCUAAGUGCAAGGGGUAGCUAGGGCAGUAUAGUGGGAGUCUCCCAAGCAUGAGGAUCUGUCUUAGAGCAGCAUGGCAGCCUAUUAUCCCAACUAGUCACUGACACUGCCGAGCCUAGCCUCGUGGUUGAGUCUGUUUGCACUUGCUGCUGGUGGUCUCCGACAAGCUCUCCACCUGGCUCAUCCUCCUCAUCGGCUCCGUUGAUUCUUUUGGAGGAAGCAAGGCUCCAAGCAAUUUCUGGUGGAUGGCAGCACAGUUGAUGUGGUCUGGGACCUAAAAGAGAAGAACAGGUUGCAGGCCAUCACUCAUAGAACCCAUCUUGGUUUCAAGGAAGGAACAUUUGUUUGGCAACAAGAAUCAAGUUCCAUGAAAAGGAAAGCUUUCAUGAGAUUUUGAUUGAGUGCGACAACAUCUUUGCCACUGGGGCUGAUUCAGAACUGGAGAUAAAGAUAGAUGGGAGCAUAGCACUCCAUGUCAAGCACCUCCAUUGGAAAUUCAGAGCUCUGGGCCAAGGCAUGGAAUGUUCAUUUUCAAGCCAAUAUCAUCUUCAUCACCAGAAACUGCGCAGUCAACCCAAGAACAAGAGUUGACUGAAAAAUCAAGUUGUGCAGCAGAAGAAGAGGAUGACAAGGCAGCUGGCAAGUGCAGAGUCUUUAGCUUCAAGACGGUGGGC
rnacentral:lncRNA from 1 species